rnacentral:rRNA from 1 species
UACAGAGGGGGCGAGCGUUGUUCGGAAUUACUGGGCGUAAAGGGCGCGUAGGCGGCCCGCUAAGUCGAACGUGAAAUCCCCGGGCUCAACCCGGGAACUGCGUCCGAUACUGGCAGGCUCGAAUCCGGGAGAGGGAUGUGGAAUUCCAGGUGUAGCGGUGAAAUGCGUAGAUAUCUGGAGGAACACCGGUGGCGAAGGCGGCAUCCUGGACCGGUAUUGACGCUGAGGCGCGAAAGCCAGGGGAGCAAACGGG